rnacentral:rRNA from 1 species
CCUACGGGGGGCAGCAGUGAGGAAUAUUGGUCAAUGGGCGCUAGCCUGAACCAGCCAAGUAGCGUGAAGGAUGACUGCCCUAUGGGUUGUAAACUUCUUUUAUAUGGGAAUAAAGUGCCGUAUGUAUACUGCUUUUCAUUUACCUUAUGAAUAAGGAUCGGCUAACUCCGUGCCAGCAGCCGCGGUAAUACGGAGGAGCCGAGCGGUAUCCGGAUUUAUUGGGUUUAAAGGGGGCGUAGGCGGACUGUUAAGUCAGUGGUGAAAGUUUGUGGCUCAACCAUAGAAUUGCCGUUGAAACUGGGAGGCUUGAGUAUGUUAGAGGCGGGCGGAAUGCGUGGUGUAGCGGUGAAAUGCUUAGAUAUCACGAAGAACGCCGAUUGCGAAGGCAGCUUGC